UUCUAAGCCACAAAUGUCCAAUAAUAGUAAAUAAGAGAACAAACUUUAUAAUAAUACGGUGUUAUCAGGAAAACAAAAGUGUCCGAGAGAGUGUUAUCUCCCUUUUAAAUCGCCAUGCAUUUUUAAAAUUCUAAAUACAGAAAGAGAGAAGUGUACAUACAUGCGUGAGGGAGAUGGCGCAGAGGGGGAGGGAGAGACCCAGCAGGCGCCCAAAGUGGGGCUCAAUCUCAUGACCCUGAGAUCAAGACCUGAGCUGAAAUCAAGAGUUGGACACUUAACCGACUGAGCCACCCAGACAUGGCAAAACAGCCCCACAUUCCUACCUGCAUCUGUCAGCUGGAGCUCUGGAAGGUGUCUGCCCUUGGAUGGACACAAGCCUGCCAGUUCGCCACACUCUCCCCCCAGCUCUUUCCACUCAUUUGAAAUUGCUUCCCUGGACCAGUUCGGCGUUUGAGUUCAUGACCCUGGCAUACGAAUAUAUUGUCCCCAGAGGCAGCAAGCGGGAUGUGCAUCAUUCAGCCCCUCCUAGUCCUCCUCUGAACUCCGUCUGCCUGUCUACUUCCCCACUGGCAACCAUCCGCCCAAGGGCCAUGGAGCUACUGAAGAAGAUCAUACCCC